UCUGAUCACAAUAUUUCACUAAAGGUUCCUGCUUUUUGUUUCUAAUAGUCGCAGCCUUUUCAAAUAUGUAGAGAAAAACUACUAUUUGGAUUUUUAAAAUGAGAAAAAACCUUAAUCACUAUUGUCUGUGUUUCACUCUGUAAUUAUUUGGACGGAGUUGUCUUGAAACAAUCGAGUAGGGCCUUUUCAUUAACGAGUCACCAAAAGGAGAUAAAAGAGAAUGGGAUCUUUUGAAAUGUGAAACCAUUUGGUAUUCUACAAAGUCGAGAUGUUUUCAUUCUUGAUCCUAGAUUAGAUGUAGUCAUGUUAGUUACGGUAAAACUAUUUAUUGGAGAAGGACGGAGCAUGAGAAGAAAGAUAAUAGUUACAAAUGAAGGGUUUGAUUUCAUAGCUAUCAAAAAAGUUCUACUCAUAGAUUUGGCUAUGCGGAAGCCCAUGUGGAGGAUGACAAUAUGCUGGUGGAAAGUGGAGAAAGGAAGGAAGAAAUACAAAAGAAGAAAAAUUAGAAUGAUAAAGCAUUGAGCAUGGGAAAGAGGUCUGAGAAGUUGGGCAUUGAGAAUGAGUAUCAUUUUUAUGGAUCUCCAUAAGGUAACUCCCAAUCUCUCUCACAUGUAAUCCAAAGGUGGAUUUAGAAUUUUAACUUUAAUAAUUUAGCACUACAUCCACGCCUGACUCCUAUAACUCCCAAAUGAUUAAUCUUGUAACAGUCGGGUUAAAUCUCACUAUCUAUAUUAUUGCUUGGCGCUUGAAGGCGUAUAAGUAGAUCUAUGAAGUUUCAAGUACACACAAGUUUGAAUGAAAAUCAUCUCUUAUCUUGUCUCA